GGGAAUUUUGGACAAUGGGGGCAACCCUGAUCCAGCCAUGCCGCGUGAGUGAAGAAGGCCUUCGGGUUGUAAAGCUCUUUCGGCCGGGAAGAAAUCGCAUUCUCUAACAUAGGGUGUGGAUGACGGUACCGGACUAAGAAGCACCGGCUAACUACGUGCC
rnacentral:rRNA from 1 species